GAACAUUGGGCUAUUAUAUCCAUUAAAGCAAGAAAGAGUAUAUUUAAUUGUUUCUGGUUUAAGAUGUCCCUAAAGUGAUGUCUGCUUUGUUUUCUUCUUCCAAAAUAAAAAAUGUUGAUUUUAGCCAGGCUCCUUUCCAUUGACACGCGCUACACUUCUGGAUGAGAAUACAGAAAAUGCCACCUUUAUCUUCACCUAAGACCACCUGGAUUCCAGAUAAUGGUCAUUACACUCUUCAGAGAUCGGCUAAAUAUGGCACUUGAAGUGUUAAAUAGAAAAGGCUUUCUGUGAAAGACAGGGAUGCCAGCUCCUAGACCACCCUCAGUGCAAGAAGACAACAGAUGAUGGAGUACAGAUGAUUCUACUGGGACUGUGGUAACGCUAACCACUGGACAAGACUGUCCCAUGCCUCACCCACUGACAGGACCCUGCCCAAGCAGUGGACAAGCAGGACACUGGAGAGUUGAUUGACCUACUUUGCCUAAACAAGACCUACAGGGACAAAAAUGGAGAAGAGCCUGAAGAAAGGAGAUCCAGUGGCAGGUUCAAAUUGGGAUCCAUCUCAAGAGGAGGCUCCAAGACUUGACACUGUUACUGAGGCUGUGGUGUGCUUACAGACAGGAGCCUAACAUGGCGGCCUCCUAAGAGUCCCAGCAAGCAGCUGACUGAGACAGAUGCAGAUACUUACACCCAACCAAUGGACAGAAGCUGGGAUCCCCUGUUGUUGAAUUGGGGAAAGCUGGAAGAAGUCAAGGAAGAGGGUGAACCCAUAGGAAGACCAGCAGUCUCAACUAACCCAGACCCCUAAGGUUUCUCAGAUACUGAGCCACCAAUGAGGCAGCAUACACCAGCUGAUAUGAGGCCCCCACCAUAUAGACAGCAGAAAACUGCCUGGUCCUCUCAGUGAGAGAAGAUACACCUAACCCUGGAGAGACUUGAGGCCUUAGGGAAUGGGGAGGUCUGGUGUAGUGAGGAAUGGGAGUGGGGGUGUGAGUGGGGACAUCCUCUUGGAAAUGGGGCAGGAGAUAGGGUCAGGAGAAAUGUGAUGAGCUACUAUCAGAGGGUGGUCUGGGAGGGGGAAUAAAGACUGGACUAUUAAAAAAAGAUUAAAAAGUAAUAAUAGUAAAGAAAAAUGUGUAAAUGUGAGCUGUAAAGGUCUAAGAAAUUGAAUUAGGCUGUGUAAAACAAUGGGAAGUGUUUCAGACUGUGGCCCACCCCACCCCUGCUCUCUGUGCUAUUGUUGAAUUAAGACUGCAAGAGUUCAGAGCUUUAACAUUAAUCAGUGCAGUUCUGAUAACUAUUAAUCCAAGUCUGCCAUAACAUUGGCAUAUCAGUCACAAGUGCAAAUUUUUAAAUUUCCUUUGGUUGUUUUCUAAAUAUAGACUUAAAAGUGCUUCUCACUCAUGCUAAAAAUUGUCUUGUUCAACUAUACUUCCAGUUCUCUGGAUACAAAGUGUUAAUGCAUUUAACCUAGAAUCGUAGCUUUGGGUUCCCACACUUUUCCUACGAUUCAAAAGUGUGAGUCUACUGACUCUUCUACAAUGCACUCUUCAGUACAGAUAACAGUGGUAAUUUGUAAACUUUAAAAAUUCUUGUAAGUUUCAGACUUGGAUACAGCUGUCACAGGUCAAAUGGACUGAAGACAAGUACUCCUGUCAAUCAACAGACGAAGUUUCUCUCUGCCCCUCCCUAUUCCUGAAAGUGGGCUUUCUUCCUCUUCCCUUGGUUUUGGGACUCUUCCACUUCCCCAAACCAGGAACCAUGGACCUAGAAGUUUCAAGGGUACACCCAAGAUAACAACUUUCCUUCCUCUAAGCUCCGUAACUUUACUUUCUUCCUCUUUCUCCUCUUCUUCCUCCUUUCUUCCUCCCCCUUCUCCUUAGAGCAGUCAUGUUCUUAUUCCUAUUCAAUGUGAAAAUAUUAUUUCUCACUGAGCAUGUUAUAAAUACCUUAGUGUCCAUUUUCAGUAUCUGUUAGGCAAAAUUAAUAGCUAAUAGAGUAAGAAAGAUUGCAUUUAUCCAAAUUCAAAUGAUUAAACAUCCUUAAAAUAGAAUCUGUAGAUAGAGUGGAUCUAAUGUUAACAUUAAAACAUAGUUAGAAGACAAAAGGACCCCAGUAAAACCACAAAGACCCAGAGCAUUACAUAACUUCAUGAGGCCCAUGUCUUACAAGUUCCAAAAAGGACUAACAAACUUUUCUAUUUUGUUAAUGAGAGGCAAACAAAGCAUUUUAGCAAGGAGGGAUCAGUUGCUGCUGGCCUUUGAGGCUGGCUUACCCUGCCUGGGUUUUCUGAGGAAAUACUGCCGGUGUGAACUUUCCAAAUGUUCUUUGGCCCUAGGAUGGUCGGAGGCCUUGCAAAGAUGUCAAAUGCUCUUCGUAUAACCACUAGCCACGCUGCAGUUAGACAGAGAGCUGCAGCCUGCCACAGCCCUUUUAUCUCAUUUUCCUUUAGAAAUUAUAUAGCCCUUUAAGAAACAGAAAACUUUCUUUUAAUUGACAGUGUUGGAGCUAGAAAUCUGGGAAUAUUUUCACAGUCCUUAAAAGCUUUCUGGCCUACAUUUAGCCUUUGGAGAUUGCCUUCCCCUGCCCUCCAAUAAAGUCUGUCCUGCUUGUCAGUGUUGACCCCUUUGGUUAGCACAUUGCCCUCCCUUGAAGCCUAGGACCCAUCUCAAAAAAAUUAAGGAGAUAAGAGGCCGUAUGAAAGCUCUUAAGAUACUUCACAUUUGGAGCAAACAAUGGACUAUUUACUUGCCUUAUCUUAGGAUGGGUGUUCCCUCAGUUCAUUAGGGAAGGGCCAGGGUAGAGGAAAUUUACACAAGGGACUGGGCCCCACAAAUCUCCUAGGAAGUAGCUAGAUCUUCAGGGUACCAGCCCCUGUGACCUCAGCCAAGCCAGCCAGACGCCAAACAGAAGAUAUUGUUUCAAGUAAACCUUUUCUCUUUAUGUUGAGCCUGAGUGUUUUGUAACUGAAAUGAGAGACAUGUAUGUUGGGGGGUAUUGUUAAGGUUUCUGUAUCAUACGUGUAUGGAAACAACUAAAGAUUACUCAAAAGAAAGUAGAGUUUAUUUUUUGAGGAGCUGAUACAGUGUGGUAAUUAGCCACUAUCAACAGCAUUUCUCAGUAACUCAGAGC
rnacentral:lncRNA from 1 species